UACGAAGGGGGCGAGCGUUAUUCGGAAUCACUGGGCGUAAAGCGUGCGUAGGCUGUUUUGUAAGUCAGGAGUGAAAGCCCAGGGCUCAACCUUGGAAUUGCUCUUGAAACUACAAGACUUGAAUUCGGGAGAGGAUAGCGGAAUUGUCAGUGUAGCAGUGAAAUGCGUAGAUAUUGACAGGAACACCAGUGGCGCAAGCGGCUAUCUGGACCGACAUUGACGCUGAGGCACGAAAGCGUGGGGAGCAAACAGG
rnacentral:misc_RNA from 1 species